rnacentral:rRNA from 1 species
UAGGGAAUCUUCCGCAAUGGGCGAAAGCCUGACGGAGCAACGCCGCGUGAGUGAUGAAGGUCUUCGGAUCGUAAAACUCUGUUAUUAGGGAAGAACAAAUGUGUAAGUAACUAUGCACGUCUUGACGGUACCUAAUCAGAAAGCCACGGCUAACUACGUGCCAGCAGCCGCGGUAAUACGUAGGUGGCAAGCGUUAUCCGGAAUUAUUGGGCGUAAAGCGCGCGUAGGCGGUUUUUUAAGUCUGAUGUGAAAGCCCACGGCUCAACCGUGGAGGGUCAUUGGAAACUGGAGAACUUGAGUGCAGAAGAGGAAAGGGGAAUUCCAUGUGUAGCGGUGAAAUGCGCAAAGAUAUGGAGGAACACCAGUGGCGAAGGCGACUUUCUGGUCUGUAACUGAAGCUGAUGUGCGAAAGCGUGGGGAUCAAACAGG